CUGUGAGUCAUGGCCUAGAGGAGCUGGAGGGGGCUCAGAUCUCCCACAGCCUGGCCCUCAUCCUUCCUGUUGCAGCAGAACCCCAUCACAAUGAUUCUGCAAGUCACUACUUUGAUCAAACUUUAAAAGCAUAGAAGAACUCUGCAGGUCCACAGGAUCCCGCUUUUCUUGUUGCCCAGGAUGACUUCUGUCACUUUCUCCUUAAGAAUAGACAAAAACAGCUGAAAAAAAAGGCCUUCCAUUACAUCAACCUUAGCAACAGUGAAAACAUUCUGGAGGCCAAAUGGAUCUGUUCCAGAUUAGCAGUGUUUCACUUUCCCUGGUGAGGAGGCAGAUUGCUGAUGGGUCUUCAUAAUAAAUCAAAUCCUGCUUGUUGAUCUGACACUCUGGGCAGUUGGCACAGGUGUUAUCUAAACCUUGGACAGCUACAGUGGUUAUUUUGUGCCUGAAAUCCAGAGAUCCUUGUAUGGGCGUCAGCACAAGAAGACCAAAGCAGUAAAAAAAAAAGCUUUGGACAUGCUGACUAGGGCACCAGAGGUGGCUGAGAAGAAAGGUAAAAGGAAAACGACCUCUAAUCCUUCCACUUGUACCAUCCAGUGGUAAUAAUUAAAACUUCAUAACUGAACA